rnacentral:rRNA from 1 species
UACGUAGGGUGCAAGCGUUAAUCGGAAUUACUGGGCGUAAAGCGUGCGCAGGUGGUGAUGUAAGACAGGUGUGAAAUCCCCGGGCUUAACCUGGGAACUGCAUUUGUGACUGCAUCGCUGGAGUGCGGCAGAGGGGGAUGGAAUUCCGCGUGUAGCAGUGAAAUGCGUAGAGAUCGGGAGGAACACCAGUGGCGAAGGCGGCCGGCUGGGGGUGACCUGACGCUGAGGCGCGAAAGCGUGGGGAGCGAACCGG